AUCCCCCACCAGACCACCAUCCUCUCUGCUCCUCAUCUGGUAUCGCAGAGUAAUGCAGGGGGGAGUUGCGAAAUGAAGAAAACUUCAAGGACUGUCAUGGCAGGGGGCAAAAAACGUAAAACUUUGGCUUUGGAGUGAGCCCAUUGCUGCCAACUUUGACGAUGUACAGAGACCAACUGGAGGCUCCCUGGUUGUGAGGAUUGUCUACAGGGCACUGCAGGAGGGAAUUGCAAAAUGAAGAAAAGUUCAAGGAUCGUCACGGCAGG